CAUCUCUCAGGAUCACACCUGGAGAGUUUCCAGUACUCUGCCAGUCUAGACGAUGGGAGGGAGAGUCGAGCAGAGAGAAGCAUAUCCAUUCCAUUCCUAGCUUGGGCAAGGGCUAGCGAGUGGAAGGCAAUUAGCUACAAGU